rnacentral:rRNA from 1 species
GACGAACGCUGGCGGCGUGCUUAACACAUGCAAGUCGAGCGGUAAGGCCCUUUCGGGGGUACACGAGCGGCGAACGGGUGAGUAACACGUGGGUGACCUGCCCUCAGCUCUGGGAUAAGCCUGGGAAACCGGGUCUAAUACUGGAUAUGACUCCAUGACGCAUGUUGUGGGGUGGAAAGCCUUGUGCGGCUGAGGAUGGGCCCGCGGCCUAUCAGCUUGUUGGUGGGGUGANGGCCUACCAAGGCGACGACGGGUAGCCGGCCUGAGAGGGCGACCGGCCACACUGGGACUGAGACACGGCCCAGACUCCUACGGGAGGCAGCAGUGGGGAAUCUUGCGCAAUGGGCGAAAGCCUGACGCAGCGACGCCGCGUGAGGGAUGACGGCCUCGGUGUAACGUACUUCUA